AUUGCUUCUCAGCCUUUUGGCUAAGAUCAAGUGUAGUAUCGAGCUCUGCCAUUUGCAGACUGUUAGAAAUGAACCUUU
rnacentral:snRNA from 2 species